rnacentral:rRNA from 1 species
CAACUUGUCAAGCUUCAUAAACUGGCUUAGUCUCCGCCCCUCUCUGUCUCUAGAACUAGAAAAAGGAGAAGAGAACAUGGCGUCAUGGUCAUCGUCGUCCACGCAGCGGAGCAGCGGCGCGACCAUGCCGUGCUCCGUGGUAAAGCUCGACGACGACCUGCUGCGCCACGAGGAGGAGGCCGCCGAGGAGAUCCGGCGCGGCCCGUGGACCGUGGAGGAGGACCUCACACUCGUCAACUACAUCGCCGACCACGGCGACGGCCGCUGGAACUCCCUCGCCCGCGCCGCCGGGCUGAAGCGGACGGGGAAGAGCUGCCGGCUGCGGUGGCUGAACUACCUCCGGCCGGACGUGAAGCGCGGCAACUUCACCGCCGACGAGCAGCUGCUCAUCCUCGACCUCCACUCCCGCUGGGGCAACAGGUGGUCCAAGAUAGCUCAACACCUUCCUGGGAGGACCGACAACGAGAUCAAAAACUACUGGAGGACAAGGGUGCAAAAGCACGCCAAGCAGCUCAACUGUGACGCCAAUAGCACCAAGUUCAAGGAUGCCAUGAAGUAUCUAUGGAUGCCUCGCCUCGCUGACCACCACCUCCAGCAAGCAUCUACAGUUGGUGAUCAUCUUGUGCCUGGGCUACCAACGGCCUACAUGGAGAGCUCCGGCAUGGUGACAUCGUCGUCCGACUCAUUCGCAUCGGAGUCAUAUGAUGGUGCACGCUGUGCAAAUGCGAGCGUGGGAGAGAUGAUACACAGUGGGGAUUGGGUUGAAGAGCAGAAUCAAGGGUUUUGGCCUGAGUCAAACCAGACUUUCCAGCUUCAAGACUCAGACUUGUCUGGAUGGGUACAAGGGUUCUCCGAGUCCGAGAGCCUCACUGAGAAUUUUUGGAGUUUGGAGGACAUUUGGAAGAUGCAAUGAUUUAUAUUCUAUGUUGGAAAAGGGGUACGUGCAUAUACGAUUUAUGGUCGGCAUGGUGGUGUUGAGUUAGAUGCGUCACUUAUAUGGAGAAAAAACUAGAGUUAAUUAGUUUAUUCUAACUCGAAAAGUCACUAUUUUAUAGAACAGUGAUUAAAGUUCUUUUCGUUUCUUUUUCUUCUUUUCUACUUUUUGGGUCAGGUGUUCAUUUUUUCCUCAUACGGACUUGUUCUCCGAGAGGUUAAAGGGAUGGAGUAUUCCGCGCAUGAUGUGUAAUGUUACUUAUAAGGAUGCAAAUGUACAAGCGCAC